rnacentral:rRNA from 1 species
GAUGAACGUUGGCGGUGCGCCUAACACAUGCAAGUCGACUGCACUUCGGGUGCAGGGCGGACGGGAGCGUAACACGUAGGAAUUUGCCUCAGACUCAGGCAUAACCCAGAGAAAUCUGGGCUAAUACCGGAUAGUCCCGCGAGGGUAAAGCUUUUGCGGUCUGAGAGAAUCCUGCGUCCUAUCAGCUUGUUGGUAAGGUAACGGCUUACCAAGGCUAUGACGGGUAACUGGUCUGAGAGGACGACCAGUCUCACUGGGACUGAGACACGGCCCAGACUCCUACGGGAGGCAGCAGUGAGGAAUAUUCCACAAUGGGCGAAAGCCUGAUGGAGCGACACCGCGUGCGGGAAGACGGUCUUCGGAUUGUAAACCGCUUUUCUGUGAGAAUACUUCGAAUGUACCACAGGAAUAAGUCACGGCUAAUCACGUGCCAGCAGCUGCGGUAAUACGUGAGUGGCAAACGUUAUCCGGAAUUACUGGGCGUAAAGGGCCCGUAGGGGGUAGUGUAAGUGUGAUGUUAAAUCUACCAGCUCAACUCGUAGACUGCAUUGCAAACUACAUUACUAGAGGUAUGCAGAGGUAAAUGGAAUUCCCAGAGUAGGAGUAAUAUCCGUAGAUACUGGGAGGAACACCAAUAGCGAAGGCAAUUUACUGGGCAUUACCUGACCCUAAAGGACGAAAGCGUGGGGAGCGAACCGGAUUAGAUACCCGGGUAGUCCACGCCCUAAACGAUGGUUACUCGGUGUGUGCGGCCUCGACCCCGUACGUGCCUAAGCUAACGCGUUAAGUAACCCGCCUGUGGAGUACGGCCGCAAGGCUAAAACAUAAAGGAAUUGACGGGGAUCCACACAAGCGGUGGAGCAUGUGGUUUAAUUCGACAAUAAGCGAAGUACCUCACCAGGACUUGACAUCUCCGGAACCCACUAGAAAUAGAGGGGUGCCCGCAAGGGAACCGGAUGACAGGUGCUGCAUGGUCGUCGUCAGCUCGUGUCGUGAGAUGUAGGGUUAAGUCCUCUAACGAGCGCAACCCUCGCUGUAUGUUGUAUUUCUCAUACAGGACUGCCCGUGCAAGCGGGAGGAAGGCGGGGAUGACGUCAGAUCAGCAUGGCUCUUACGUCCUGGGCGACACACGUGCUACAAUGGCCGGCACAACGGGCAGCUAAGGGGUAACCUGGAGCCAAUCCCACAAAGUCGGUCUCAGUUCGGAUUGAGGGCUGCAACUCGCCCUCAUGAAGUUGGAAUCGCUAGUAACCGCGCAUCAGCCACGGCGCGGUGAAUAUGUUCCUGGAUCUUGUACACACCGCCCGUCAUGUCAUGGAAGAUGGGUGCACCAGAAGCUUGCCCGUCUGGGUGAACCAAGGUGAAACCAUUGACUGGG